GAUGAACGCUGGCGGCGUGCUUAACACAUGCAAGUCGAACGGGAAACCUUUUAUUGAAGCUUCGGCAGAUUUAGCUGGUUUCUAGUGGCGGACGGGUGAGUAACGCGUGGGUAACCUGCCUUAUACAGGGGGAUAACAACCAGAAAUGGUUGCUAAUACCGCAUAAGCGCACAGGACCGCAUGGUCCGGUGUGAAAAACUCCGGUGGUAUAAGAUGGACCCGCGUUGGAUUAGCUAGUUGGCAGGGUAACGGCCUACCAAGGCGACGAUCCCUAGCCGGCCUGAGAGGGUGAACGGCCACAUUGGGACUGAGACACGGCCCAGACUCCUACGGGAGGCAGCAGUGGGGAAUAUUGCACAAUGGGGGAAACCCUGAUGCAGCGACGCCGCGUGAAGGAAGAAGUAUCUCGGUAUGUAAACUUCUAUCAGCAGGGAAGAUAGUGACGGUACCUGACUAAGAAGCCCCGGCUAACUACGUG
rnacentral:rRNA from 1 species